UGUUGACAAUAUCUUGGUUGAAGAUGCAACUAAAAGAACCCAACAAGAACAAGAGAUGAAGGAUGAAGAAAUUUCAAGAGAUAAUAUAUUAACAAAGGAAAUACAAAACAAAGAGUUAUGCAAGGAAAUUGGAAAGACUGAUUCAAGUGAGACAAUUGAGAAACAGAACAGCACAGAAAAAGGAACAGCUAAGAACCUACUCCAAGGUACUGUAGACAACAUUUCAGGUGAAGAAGCAACUAAAGAG
rnacentral:misc_RNA from 1 species